rnacentral:rRNA from 1 species
CCUACGGGGCGCAGCAGUGGGGAAUAUUGGGCAAUGGGCGCAAGCCUGACCCAGCAACGCCGCGUGAAGGAUGAAGGUUUUCGGAUUGUAAACUUCUGUCGCGAGGGACGAAGAAUGACGGUACCUCGUAAGAAAGCCCCGGCUAACUACGUGCCAGCAGCCGCGGUAAUACGUAGGGGGCAAGCGUUGUCCGGAAUGACUGGGCGUAAAGGGCGUGUAGCCGGGCUGACAAGUCAGAUGUGAAAUCCGGGGGCUCAACCCCCGAACUGCAUUUGAAACUGUUGGUCUUGAGUAUCGGAGAGGCA